rnacentral:sRNA from 1 species
AUACCAUACAUAUUAAAAAUUUGACCAAUAAUAUAUAUAAAUAUUUUUGGUUAAUUUUCCUUUUGGUUAAGAAAAACAAAAUGUAAUAUUUUUUAGAUAUAGACAUAUGAAUUAGUAUAUGUUAAUAAUGAUUUAUUUUUUAGUUUUCUAUUUCUUUAAGAAGAAAAAAGUUAAUUGACUUCUUUUUUAGUAUUUCUAUUUCUUUAAGAAGAAAAAAGUUAAUUAUUUUGUUACACGUGUCAACAUCUGAUCGAUAGACUUGACACAUGACAUAAUCCUAUGAGUUAGUAAUUUUAAAAACCAUACUUUAUAUAAUAAGAUAUGUAAAUGUU